CUACGGGAGGCAGCAGUGGGGAAUAUUGCACAAUGGGCGCAAGCCUGAUGCAGCCAUGCCGCGUGUAUGAAGAAGGCCUUCGGGUUGUAAAGUACUUUCAGCGGGGAGGAAGGGAGUAAAGUUAAUACCUUUGCCCAUUGACGUUACCCGCAGAAGAAGCACCGGCUAACUCCGUGCCAGCAGCCGCGGUAAUACGGAGGGUGCAAGCGUUAAUCGGAAUUACUGGGCGUAAAGCGCACGCAGGCGGUUUGUUAAGUCAGAUGUGAAAUCCCCGGGCUCAACCCGGGAACUGCAUCUGAUACUGGCAAGCUUGAGUCUCGUAGAGGGGGGUAGAAUUCCAGGUGUAGCGGUGAAAUGCGUAGAGAUCUGGAGGAAUACCGGUGGCGAAGGCGGCCCCCUGGACGAAGACUGACGCUCAGGUGCGAAAGCGUGGGGAGCAAACAGGAUUAGAUACCCUUGUAGUC
rnacentral:rRNA from 1 species